AUGAAGGUGCUUGACGCAACUCACUCUGGCUACUCUUUGUACGAUCCUGCAGUUGAUGGUUGCCGCAAGCCUGCAACCAGUUGGAGAUCCUCUGGGUGUUUGCGCUUUGGUCUGCACUGCUGGCUAGUGGUGAAUGGUUAUAAUCUUUCGUGUACGAGGGGCUUUUGCUUUUGCUGGGAGAAAGAAGCUGCAGAGAAGAGAGCAGUAGUGGCAGAGGCAGAGAAGAAAGCAGAGGAAGCAUCAGUUCCCAACUUGGAUGAAACUAGUUUCACACCUGUCCUGGAUAGGACUUGUUCAUAUUGUUGUUGUUUCAGUUUUGGCGUCGAUGUGCCUAGAGCCCCACACGAACGCCUUGUGCCGGACUAG
rnacentral:rRNA from 1 species